rnacentral:rRNA from 1 species
UACGGAGGAUGCGAGCGUUAUCCGGAUUUAUUGGGUUUAAAGGGUGCGUUGGCGGACUGUCAAGUCAGCGGUAAAAUUGAGAGGCUCAACCUCUUCCCGCCGUUGAAACUGGUGGUCUUGAGUGGAUGAGAAGUACGCGGAAUGCGUGGUGUAGCGGUGAAAUGCAUAGAUAUCACGCAGAACUCCGAUUGCGAAGGCAGCGUACCGGCAUCCAACUGACGCUGAGGCACGAAAGCGUGGGGAUCAAACAGG